rnacentral:rRNA from 1 species
UACGUAGGGUGCGAGCGUUGUCCGGAAUUACUGGGCGUAAAGAGCUCGUAGGUGGUUUGUCGCGUUGUUCGUGAAAACUCACAACUCAAUUGUGGGCGUGCGGGCGAUACGGGCAGACUGGAGUACUGCAGGGGAGACUGGAAUUCCCGGUGUAGCAGUGAAAUGCGUAGAUAUCGAGAGGAACACCAGUGGCGAAGGCGAGUCCCUGGACAACUCCUGACGCUGAGGCACGAAAGCUAGGGGAGCAAACAGG